rnacentral:rRNA from 1 species
UACGGAGGGAGCUAGCGUUGUUCGGAAUUACUGGGCGUAAAGCGUGCGUAGGCGGUUAUUCAAGUCAGAGGUGAAAGCCCGGGGCUCAACCCCGGAACUGCCUUUGAAACUAGAUAGCUAGAAUCUUGGAGAGGUCAGUGGAAUUCCGAGUGUAGAGGUGAAAUUCGUAGAUAUUCGGAAGAACACCAGUGGCGAAGGCGACUGACUGGACAAGUAUUGACGCUGUGGCGCGAAAGCUAGGGGAGCAAACGGG